rnacentral:rRNA from 2 species
GACGAACCGUGCGAACGUUGUUCGGAAUCACUGGGCUUAAAGGGCGCGUAGGCGGGCUUGAUAGUCUGUGGUGAAAGCCCCCGGCUUAACCGGGGAAGUGCCGUGGAUACUGCAAGCCUGGAGGAGGGUAGGGGCAUCUGGAACGCUGGGUGGAGCGGUGAAAUGCGUUGAUAUCCAGCGGAACUCCGGUGGCGAAGGCGAGGUGCUGGACCCUUUCUGACGCUGAUGCGCGAAAGCCAGGGGAGCAAACGGG